rnacentral:rRNA from 1 species
AUCAAAAACAUGGCUUUUCGUUAAAUGAGGAUGGGGAGUCUGGCCUGCCCGGUGGACUUGUCUAAACCGGNNCGCAGCUAUCACUGUGCUAAGGUAGCGUAAUAGGUCGUCCUUUAAUUGGGGAAAGGUAUGAAUGGUUGGAUGAUGGAGAAGCUUUAUUGGAGGUAUUUGUUUGAAUUUUACUUUUGGUGUGCAAAGGCCUAAAUGAUGUUAUUAGACGAGAAGACCCUGUUGAGCUUGGUACACGGUGAUCGGGUUGGUCGCUGGAUAUGUUUUUUCGGGGUCGAAAGGAAGGGAUAAAAAUACCUUCUUUGUAUUAUGUAGAUCCAGUAGGGCUGAUAAGAGGAAGAUAGUUACCACAGGGAUAACAGCGCAAUUUUCUUGUCAAGGUCUUAUUUGAGGGGAAGUUUGCGACCUCGAUGUUGAAUCAGAGUCUCUAUAUGGUGUAGCAGCUUUAUCAGCGGGACUGUUCGUCCUUUGAAGCUGUACGUGAUCUGAGUUACAGACCG